UUGGAUGAUAUAGUCCAACCCAAUGUGAACGUUACCAAACUGUUGCCUCGGCGGGAUCUCUGCCCCGGGUGCGUCGCAGCCCCGGACCAAGGCGCCCGCCGGAGGACCAACCAAAACUCUUAUUGUAUACCCCCUCGCGGGUUUUUUACUAUCUGAGCCAUCUCGGCGCCCCUCGUGGGCGUUUCGAAAAUGAAUCAAAACUUUCAACAACGGAUCUCUUGGUUCUGGCAUCGAUGAAGAACGCAGCGAAAUGCGAUAAGUAAUGUGAAUUGCAGAAUUCAGUGAAUCAUCGAAUCUUUGAACGCACAUUGCGCCCGCCAGUAUUCUGGCGGGCAUGCCUGUCCGAGCGUCAUUUCAACCCUCGAACCCCUCCGGGGGGUCGGCGUUGGGGAUCGGCCCUUUACGGGGCCGGCCCCGAAAUACAGUGGCGGUCUCGCCGCAGCCUCUCCUGCGCAGUAGUUUGCACACUCGCAUCGGGAGCGCGGCGCGUCCACAGCCGUUAAACACCCCAAACUUCUGAAAUGUUGACCUCGGAUCAGGUAGGAAUACCCGCUGAACUUAAGCAUAUCAAUAAGCGGAGGAAAAGAAACCAACAGGGAUUGCCCCAGUAACGGCGAGUGAAGCGGCAACAGCUCAAAUUUGAAAUCUGGCCCCUCGGGGUCCGAGUUGUAAUUUGUAGAGGAUGCUUUUGGUGAGGUGCCGCCCGAGUUCCCUGGAACGGGACGCCACAGAGGGUGAGAGCCCCGUCUGGCUGGCCACCGAGCCUCUGUAAAGCUCCUUCGACGAGUCGAGUAGUUUGGGAAUGCUGCUCAAAAUGGGAGGUAUAUGUCUUCUAAAGCUAAAUAUUGGCCAGAGACCGAUAGCGCACAAGUAGAGUGAUCGAAAGAUGAAAAGCACCUUGAAAAGAGGGUAAAUAUACUGAGUUUUGUUGGGGAAGGAAGAAAAAAAAAGCCAAUUCUUUUGUU
rnacentral:rRNA from 1 species